CCCUUAGAUGUUCUGGGCAGCACGCGCGCUACAAUGGUCUUCGCAAACGGAUGCAUUCUCGAAGGAGAAUGCCAAUCUUGGAAUCUAUGCCUAGGUCGGGACAGUUGCUUGCAAUUUUUCGACUCGAACCAGGAAUUCCUUGUAAUCGUGAUUCAUCACAUCACGAUGAAUACGUCCCUGCCCUUUGUACACACCGCCCGUCGCUCCUACCGAUCGAAGAGUUAGGUGAAUUGUUUUGAUCGAUAAGAUUUGACUAUGGUCAACUCUCGUUGUGAAAUUCUGUGAAUCUGACUGUUUAGAGGAAGGAAAAGUCGUAACA
rnacentral:rRNA from 1 species